UGGGGAAUAUUGGGCAAUGGGCGAAAGCCUGACCCAGCGACGCCGCGUGUGGGAACAAAGCGUGGUUGCGACCGCAGAUGAGUGUACCACAAGAAUAAGCAUCGGCUAACUCCGUGCCAGCAGCCGCGGUAAUACGGAGGAUGCGAGCGUUAUCCGGAUUUAUUGGGUUUAAAGGGUGCGUAGGCGGACUUUCAAGUCAGCGGUAAAAUUUCCGGGCUUAACCUGGUUGUGCCGUUGAAACUGAGAGACUGGAGUGCGCUUGAGGUAGGCGGAAUGCGUUGUGUAGCGGUGAAAUGCAUAGAUAUGACGCAGAACUCCGAUUGCGAAGGCAGCUUACCAAAUCGCUACUGACGCUGAGGCACGAAAGCGUGGGGAUCGAACAGGAUUAGAUACCCUGGUAGU
rnacentral:rRNA from 1 species